GAAAUGCGAUAAGUAAUGUGAAUUGCAGAAUUCAGUGAAUCAUCGAAUCUUUGAACGCACCUUGCGCUCCUUGGUAUUCCUUGGAGCAUGCCUGUUUGGGUAUCAUGAAAUCUUCAAAGUAAAUCUUUUGUUAACUCAAUUGGUUUCUACUUUGGUAUUGGAGGUCUUUGCAGCUUCACACCUGCUCCUCUUUGUUCAUUAGCUGGAUCUCAGUGUUAUGCUUGGUACCACUCGGCGUGAUAAGUUAUCUAUCGCUGAGGACACUGUAAAAGGUGGCCAAGGUAAAUGCAGAUGAACCGCUUCUAAUAGUCCAUUGACUUGGACAAUACUUUUAUGAUCUGAUCUCAAAUCAGGUAGGACUACCCGCUGAACUUAAGC
rnacentral:misc_RNA from 1 species